rnacentral:rRNA from 1 species
AUUGAACGCUGGCGGCAUGCCUUACACAUGCAAGUCGAACGGCAGCACGGGUGCUUGCCCCUGGUGGCGAGUGGCGAACGGGUGAGUAAUACAUCGGAACAUGUCCUGUAGUGGGAGAUAGCCCGGCGAAAGCCGGAUUAAUACCGCAUACGAUCUACGGAUGAAAGCGGGGGACCUUCGGGCCUCGCGCUAUAGGGUUGGCCGAUGGCUGAUUAGCUAGUUGGUGGGGUAAAGGCCUACCAAGGCGACGAUCAGUAGCUGGUCUGAGAGGACGACCAGCCACACUGGGACUGAGACACGGCCCAGACUCCUACGGGAGGCAGCAGUGGGGAAUUUUGGACAAUGGGCGAAAGCCUGAUCCAGCAAUGCCGCGUGUGUGAAGAAGGCCUUCGGGUUGUAAAGCACUUUUGUCCGGAAAGAAAUCCUUGGCCCUAAUACGGUCGGGGGAUGACGGUACCGGAAGAAUAAGCACCGGCUAACUACGUG